rnacentral:rRNA from 1 species
GAUGAACGCUGGCGGCGUGCCUAAUACAUGUAAGUCGAGCGAACGGACGAGAAGCUUGCUUCUCUGAUGUUAGCGGCGGACGGGUGAGUAACACGUGGAUAACCUACCUAUAAGACUGGGAUAACUUCGGGAAACCGUAGCUAAUACCGGAUAAUAUUUUGAACCGCAUGGUUCAAAAGUGAAGGACGGUCUUGCUGUCACUUAUAGAUGGAUCCGCGCUGCAUUAGCUAGUUGGUAAGGUAACGGCUUACCAAGGCAACGAUGCAUAGCCGACCUGAGAGGGUGAUCGGCCACACUGGAACUGAGACACGGUCCAGACUCCUACGGGAGGCAGCAGUAGGGAAUCUUCCGCAAUGGGCGAAAGCCUGACGGAGCAACGCCGCGUGAGUGAUGAAGGUCUUCGGAUCGUAAAACUCUGUUAUUAGGGAAGAACAUAUGUGUAAGUAACUGUGCACAUCUUGACGGUACCUAAUCAGAAAGCCACGGCUAACUACGUG